rnacentral:rRNA from 1 species
UACGUAGGGUGCGAGCGUUAAUCGGAAUUACUGGGCGUAAAGCGUGCGCAGGCGGCUUUGCAAGACAGAUGUGAAAUCCCCGGGCUCAACCUGGGAACUGCAUUUGUGACUGUAUAGCUAGAGUACGGUAGAGGGGGAUGGAAUUCCGCGUGUAGCAGUGAAAUGCGUAGAUAUGCGGAGGAACACCGAUGGCGAAGGCAGCCCCCUGGGCCUGUACUGACGCUCAUGCACGAAAGCGUGGGGAGCAAACAGG